rnacentral:lncRNA from 1 species
AGUGCUCCAUUUUACGUAGGCACUCUCAGUUUGGUCAAAUUAGUUUAAUUGCAGCAUUUGUCCCAUGCAACAAUAUUUGGAUGGUUAACUUUGCGUUGGAGCCUGAGGAUGAAGUGGCAGGUGUUUCAAUUAUUUGAAUGUAGCUGUUUUUUAAUUGAAGUGGCUCACACAAAGCGCUCUUCAAUCUCUUAUCUCAGAACAAAAGGUGAUUGAUUGAAACUCUCCGAAGUGGAAAUUUACUACAGAAAAGGGAAAAACCGAAUGAGAAAGUGCUAUUUUAGCAUUUUCUUGUUUGUUUGUUUUUUUUUGUUUUGUUUUUUUGGGACAGUUCCACCCCAUCAUCGUCGCUUCACAAGGAGAAUCCUGACACUCGCUUCAAGGAGGACAGCAGGCAAGAACACGCAGAGUCAAAUAUAGUAUUUUAGCAAGCACAACAACAACAAAAUACCAGGAUUAAUAACUGGAUUGAUAUACUUAAAAGUAGAAAAUAAGAAUACUAAAACAUUUUAUUUUAUCAGAAACAUUAGAGACUAAAGAUUUACGAGCUUUUUCAACUUCCCAGGAUCUGUUUUUGCAAUCUCAUGUUCAUCUUUAUGGCUCUCAUUCUCCUCUCUUAAAUCAAACCUGACCAGAAUUACACAGACACUUCCUAAAACACACAAAAAAGUCCCACAUUUAACAGCUUUUGCUCGUUUUGACUCUCGCACCCAACAGGUGUUUCUGUUUUGGAGGGCAAAUUUCUUGAAAUCUUGAUAGCUGCUGUUUUUCCACAAACCAUUUUAGCAUUUGCUUUUUUAAUUUCAAUCUUUUGUCUUUCACCUUAAUAAUUUUUUUCUUCUCCACUUUUUUACAAGUAGCUCAGAUGAGACCCGGAGAAGUUCAGCCCUUUCAGUUCCCAGUUCGGCUGGAGCUUUAAUGGAGCUCCUAGCUGUAUCUAUCCCAGGACAAACCCAGGAAGCACUCAAAGAUGAUCCUGGAUCAAGUCAAGCUUCUCUUUCAGGAGUCGAUCACCCCAUGGUUGCCAUGUCUCCAUCCUCUGAGAAAUGCCCCAAAUCUAACCUGAAAUCUAUUUUGCCACCAAUUCCUAAUGGAAGAAAGAGUCCUGCAGCCACCAAUCCCGGCUUUUCCCCUAAUCUUAGCACAAACCCAGGAGUCUCAGAGGGUGGGAAAUAAAGUUUUCGUAAAUUUGUGAUUUUGUGCACUUAAUUGAAGCUAAAUAUGUUCACUGUAGCUGUCCUAGUAAGAAUCAGUUGUAGUUUUUGUAAAAAUAAAGAUUUUCCUAUUGUCCCACUCCGAAUAUUUUUUGAUCUAUUGUAAAAGCAAUCCCAGUGGUCUUUUGAUUAUGAUUAUGCCGUUGUUAGCCACAAUCCAAAAUCCUGUGUCAUUAGAAAUCUGUUUCUGAGUUGUGGGCGGGAUCGUUGUGAAAAAAAUGCCACAACAACAGGUUAAUUUUCAUCGGAGUGGGUCUUUAACCUCAUAUGUCACAGAAAAAGCAUUUAAAAUUAAGCUUAAUAUGUUAGUAAAAAAUUCAUCACAACUCAUAGACUUUAAGGUCAUUUCUGGUACAAUUAAGGUUGACUUGCACAAAAAACCCUGAGGGUUUUGCAUUUCCUGCUCUUCAUCUUCAGCUUUGCUGCUGAUGUGUCGACGGUGAUCUUCUGUGUGUAACCCGGAGCUCUUGUCAUUGAUGAUAAAUACGUCAUUAAUCUUUAUCUGUUCUGAGGGGAUUAUUUAUUCAACUGGAAAUGCGCUCCUGUGGAGGUUGUUGACAGGUUUGAAACAAUCACAAGCAUGUUUCUGAAAGCGCACGUCCUGAUCACAGCCAGCAUGCUUCUGUCGUCACGUUUCAGAGUUUCAUACGGCAUUAAUUAGUGAUUCAUCGCAAAUAGAAAUUGUCAGCUGUCACAGAUGCGUGCAUUGCUUAUUUAACUGCUCCCUCAGCCAGUCGGCUUGUAUGCGCAUGUGGGUUGGUGCACACACAUCGGGCUCCGUUUGUUUCCUGACGUAUAGGUGUGUGUACAGCUCGUUUUGCGCGCACACAAAGCACACCUGGCCAUUCAUCACUGUCUGUCUUCCUCUGAGGCAGCAGAUGUUGCAACCCUGUCAUAAUUCUUUGGAAGUUUGAUGCCAGACUUUGUCUUUAGGGCCCCUGGGGUCUAACCUACUUACACUGCAGCCUGCACCUCCCUAAGCCUUAUCACGGACAAGCAAGGUGUUUUAUUUUUUUAUUUUUUUUACAUUAGAUAGGUGUGUUCAAGACAAAUAGGUAUGAAAUGAGAUGAGGAUGAAAAGAAUGGGAAUCUGCGUCUGUUUUGUUGGAUUUUUCCUGCAUCUUUUAAUUCCAAGAAGGAAGACUGAAUCCCAGCAACAGCUGGGAUUCUUUUAAGUCACACAGAACUGACCAAAAGCAAGGAAAGUUUUUUCGUCUCCCUGCUCCAUUCCCCGGUUUACUAAUCUGAACUCACCUCAGAAGGAGCUAAAACAUAAACAUGUCGUGAGCUUUUCCUCUUGUCGUAACUCACAGAGACACUUUUCAUCAGACUGAAAAAGAAACCUUAUGUUUUCUGGUUAGUGAGAUUUAUGUAUUUAGGAUGUUAAGGACAGAUUACCAAUUUGAAGGCUACAAAGCAUUUGUGGGGAUGUAAAAUUAUUUUAAAAAAAACAUUCAAAGAUUAUUUAGAUACUUUUUUAAAUUAG